UACAGAGGGUGCGAGCGUUGUUCGGAAUUAUUGGGCGUAAAGGGCGCGUAGGCGGUGCGGUAAGUCACCUGUGAAAUCUCCUGGCUCAACUGGGAGCUUGCAGGCGAAACUGCCGUGCUGGAGUGUGGGAGAGGUGCGUGGAAUUCCCGGUGUAGCGGUGAAAUGCGUAGAUAUCAAGUGGAACACCAGUGGCGAAGGCGAGUCCCUGGACAACUCCUGACACUGAGGCACGAAAGCUAGGGGAGCAAACAGG
rnacentral:rRNA from 1 species